rnacentral:rRNA from 1 species
CGAUGGGCGACGCGCAUGCUCCGGCGAACUCGGUCAAAGCGAGUUUUCAAAGUAGAUCUUCGGAAUAGAAGCUUUGAUUAUCUUAGCGGCGGAUGGGUGAGUAACGCGUGAGAAACCUGCCUUUCACAAAGGGAUAGCCUCGGGAAACUGGGAUUAAUACCUUAUGACACUAAUCUUUCGCAUGGAAGAAUAGUUAAAGCGUAAAGCGGUGAAAGAUGGUCUCGCGUCCCAUUAGUUAGUUGGUGAGGUAAUGGCUCACCAAGACCGCGAUGGGUAGCCGGCCUGAGAGGGUGAACGGCCACACUAGAACUGAGACACGGUCCAGACUCCUACGGGAGGCAGCAGUGGGGAAUAUUGCACAAUGGAGGUAACUCAGAUGCAGCGACGCCGCGUGAACGAUGAAGGCCUUCGGGUCGUAAAGUUCUGUCCUAGGGGACGAUAAUGACGGUACCCUAGGAGGAAGCCCCGGCUAACUACGUGCCAGCAGCCGCGGUAAUACGUAGGGGGCAAGCGUUGUCCGGAUUUAUUGGGCGUAAAGGGUGCGUAGGCGGCCUUUUAAGUCAGAUGUGAAAGACCACGGCUCACCGUGGAAGCAUUUGAAACUGGAAAGGCUUGAGUUAGGAGAGGAAGUGAAUUCCUAGUGUGCGGGAAAUGCGUAGAUAUAAGGAGGAAUACCAGUGGAAAGGGACUUUCUGGAUUAUCUGACGCUGAGGCACAAACGUGGGGAGCGAAAGGAUAAACCCUGGAUCCCCCCAAACAUGAAUGCUAGGGUGGGGGCAACUCGGGCGCACAACCUUA